UAUCUAUGCUUAGGCAAUAGGUCG
rnacentral:piRNA from 1 species